rnacentral:tRNA from 1 species
GAGGCUUAGCUCAGCUGGGAGAGCAUCUGCCUUACAAGCAGAGGGUCGGGGGUUCGAUCCCCUCAGCCUCCACCA